rnacentral:rRNA from 1 species
AUUGAACGCUGGCGGCGUGCCUAACACAUGCAUGUCGAGCGAGCCGCGGACGGGUGUAUCAUGUCUGGGAAACUCCCUGAUGGAGGGGGAUAACUCCUGGAACCGGUAGCUAAUCCCGCAUACCAUCAGAUUUUCCCAGAUGGGAUUAGCUAGUAGGUGGGGUAAUGGCUCACCUAGGCGACGAUCCAUAGCUGGUCUGAGAGGAUGACCAGCCACACUGGAACUGAGACACGGUCCAGACUCCUACGGGAGGCAGCAGUGGGGAAUCUUGCACAAUGGGCGCAAGCCUGAUGCAGCCACGCCGCGUGUGUGAAGAAGGUCUUCGGGUUGUAAAGCACUGUCAGUGGGGAGGCGUUACCCGCUGAAGAAGCCCCGGCUAACUCCGUGCCAGCAGCCGCGGUAAUAC